rnacentral:misc_RNA from 1 species
UAAAAGGAUAACCUUCAACUCCAUACUCCCGAAUGAUUUCCACACCACUUUCACAUGAAGCUUUACCAUUUUCGUCAAGGAUCACAAGGCAGGGUAUUCCCUGCACCUUGAAUAGCUCAUCCAAGCGAUUGCGUAUCUCUGAAUCAGAGAACGGGAUUGCAAGCCAUGGCAUCUUUGAAAAAUAUGUUUUGAAUGAUUCAUCAUCUUCAUCAGCUGAGAUAAAAACAAUCUCAAAGUCACCUUUUGGAGCAAGUUCAUUGUAAGCCUCCACCAAAAUUGGGGUGAAUCGCUGACAUGGGCCACACCAUGAUGCUGAA